rnacentral:misc_RNA from 1 species
AGAAAUAUGAGUUAUUUAAUUUUUAAUAGAAUAAUGUAAAUAAAGAACAUAUUAAAAAAAAAUUCACAAAAUUUUUCUAAGUAAAACAAAAUUUAUUAUUUUAAUUAUUUUAAUUAUAAUAGCUUAAUUUAUGUAAAAAUAAAAAGUAAGCAAAUCUUUAUAAGAUGAAAGAUGUGUAAUUAAAAUAAAAAAUUUUACUUAAUCUUUU